rnacentral:rRNA from 1 species
GACGAACGCUGGCGGCGUGCUUAACACAUGCAAGUCGAACGGAAAGGCCCUGCUUUUGUGGGGUGCUCGAGUGGCGAACGGGUGAGUAACACGUGAGUAACCUGCCCUUGACUUUGGGAUAACUUCAGGAAACUGGGGCUAAUACCGGAUAGGCGCUCCUGCUGCAUGGUGGGGGUUGGAAAGUUUCGGCGGUUGGGGAUGGACUCGCGGCUUAUCAGCUUGUUGGUGGGGUAGUGGCUUACCAAGGCUUUGACGGGUAACCGGCCUGAGAGGGUGACCGGCCACAUUGGGACUGAGAGACGGCCCAGACUCCUACGGUAGGCAGCAGUGGGGAAUAUUGCACAAUGGGCGGAAGCCUGAUGCAGCAACGCCGCGUGCGGGAUGACGGCCUUCGGGUGGUAAACCGCUUUCGCCUGUGACGAAGCGUGAGUGACGGUAAUGGGUAAAGAAGCACCGGCUAACUACGUG